GUAAAUGUAGAAGACAUGGAAAGUUUUGAGUCCAUAUUUAUUGGUCUAUCCACGCUUCAAUCAGCAACAAACAACUUCGAUGAAAACAACAAACUUGGUGAAGGAGGAUUUGGUGUUGUUUAUAAGGGUGCUCUGCCAGAUGGAGAAGAAGUAGCAGUCAAGAGGCUUUCUGAGAGCACAACACAAGGACUAGGCCAGAUGAAGAAUGAGCUAGCUUUUGGUAGCUAAGCUACAGCACAAAAAUCUUGUUAGGAUUGUGGGUGUUUGCUUGGAAGAAGGUGAACACUUGCUUGUCUACGAGUACAUGCCCAACAAAAGCCUGGACACCAUUAUCUUCGGUACCUCUCUCCCUGGCCUAAAAAUUAAUUAACCUACCAAAUUGGCAAAAACUUCUUAUUUUUCAAACCCCAGCUAAAGUAGGUGUCUGGGCGAAGAAACAACUACGCACUGAACAGUCUGUAUUCUCAAGACCUCUUCUGUCUUGUGUGGAAACACUGGGUCGAGGGAACAAUCGCAGAAAUAACAGACACUAGCCUAGGCAGGCACUACCCCAUGGCCGAAGUUCUGAAGUGCAUC